rnacentral:rRNA from 1 species
GCCGUACUUAGCCCAAUCCAAAUACAACACAACUAUUACACAAAACUAGAACAAAACAUUUACUGCACUACUAAAGUAUAGGAGAUAGAAAUUUUACACUUGGAGCUAUAGAGAUAGUACCGUAAGGGAAAAAUGAAAGAAUUAUACCCAAAGCAACAAACAGCAAAGCUUACCACUUCUACCUUUUGCAUAAUGAUUUAACUAGAAAGAACUUAGCAAAGAGAACUUAAGUUAAACACCCCGAAACCAAGCGAGCUAUCCAUAAGCAGCCUAACUAGGGCAAACUCAUCUAUGUGGCAAAAUAGUGAGAAGACUUUUGGAUAGAGGUGAUAAGCCUAUCGAGCCUGGUGAUAGCUGGUUGUCCAGAAAAGAAUUUAAGUUCAAGUUCAAGUUUACCUAAAAAAUAGCCAAAUUUUAUCUGUAAGCUUGAAAUAUAAUCUAAAAGGGUACAGCCCUUUAGACACAGGAUACAACCUUCAUUAGAGAGUAAGCAUAAAACCAUAUCAUAGUUGGCCUAAAAGCAGCCACCAAUAAAGAAAGCGUUCAAGCUCAACAACCAAACAAUCUUAAUUCCAAAAACAACAAACCAACUCCUAAUAUAAAACUGGACCAUUCCAUUAAAUUAUGGAAGAAAUAAUGUUAAUAUGAGUAACAAGAAUUUAUUCUCCUAGCACAAGCAUACAUCAGAACGGAUAACCACUGAUAGUUAACAACCAUAGAACAAACCCCAACAACAAGACUUCUAGAUAACCACUUGUUAACCCAACACAGGAGUGCUACUUCCCAAAGGAAAGAUUAAAAGGAGUAAAAGGAACUCGGCAAAUACAAACCCCGCCUGUUUACCAAAAACAUCACCUCUAGCAUAAUCAGUAUUAGAGGCACUGCCUGCCCAGUGACACUAGUUUAACGGCCGCGGUAUCCUGACCGUGCAAAGGUAGCAUAAUCACUUGUUCUCUAAAUAGGGACUUGUAUGAAUGGCCACACGAGGGUUUUACUGUCUCUUACUCCCAAUCAGUGAAAUUGACCUUCCCGUGAAGAGGCGGGAAUACUAUAAUAAGACGAGAAGACCCUAUGGAGCUUUUAAUUGACCAGUCUAAAAGAAACUAUUACCCACCAAAAGGAACAAAAUCCCCUUUAAUAGUCUGGCAAUUUAGGUUGGGGUGACCUCGGAGUACAAAAAACCCUCCGAGUGAUUCAAAACUUAGACUUACCAGUCAAAGUGUAACAUCACUUAUUGAUCCAAAAUUUUUGAUCAACGGAACAAGUUACCCUAGGGAUAACAGCGCAAUCCUAUUUAAGAGUCCCUAUCGACAAUAGGGUUUACGACCUCGAUGUUGGAUCAGGACAUCCCAAUGGUGCAGCAGCUAUUAAUGGUUCGUUUGUUCAACGAUUAAAGUCCUACGUGAUCUGAGUUCAGACCGGAGCAAUCCAGGUCGGUUUCUAUCUAUUAAAUGUCUCUCCCAGUACGAAAGGAUAAGAGAGGCAAGGCCCACUUCAACUGAAGCGCCUUCAAAAUUAACAGAUGACGCCUCUCAAUCUGAUAAGUCAUUCACUAUCCCACCCGAAACCAGGGUUUG